CGCUCGGUAGUGUAACGUAACACGCGCGCUCAUUUAUAAAACCUGUAUCAUAAUGUCAAAUCCUUUAAAAGUUUGUAUCUUCUACUGUUAUGUAUUUCAGCGCGAAACGUCGGUUCAAGCCCGACACGAGUGA
rnacentral:tRNA from 1 species